CUCUCAGCUGAUCGGCGGGUGGGCGGGGCUUCCAGGGAGGCCUCGUGUAGGCCUCUGUGAAGCCUGAACUCCAGUAGGGCCCAAGCCAGCCAGGAAGGAGGAGGCAGCCAGAGUGGCCACCACUGCUCUCUGCAGCAGAAGACCCCUUGCUGCCAGGCUACUGGUUUAGCUGAAGGAUAUCUCCUUGGUUUAAAUAAUCCAAAUAGAACAACACAUAUGAACUUUCCUGUUCACUCAGCUCUUCACCUGGGGCUCUUCUCUGGAUGUCCCCACCUUCAGAGUUUAGACCUUCCAGAAAUGAUAGUUCAACCUUUGAACAAAUGAUGCUGGUGCUGAAAACAAAUUUAUUGAAGACAUAUUACAAAUGGCCACAUGAUUCCAGUAUUUUGCUGCAGAAUUUAAUUUGAAGCACAUCUGCCAACAUCCUCAAGGAACAAUGCCAACAUAUUUUAUAUCUGGAUUUUCGGGGUGGCUCACUCAUGAGGCAAGAUAAAGUUGCUUGUAUCCAUGCCGAUUUGGACUCCAGGAAUUUUGGCAGUUCCAAGAGACAUGCCUCGGCAACCAUCUGGUCUUACUGUGAUGAAUUCUGUUCAGUUAGUGCAGCCUGAGGAAGUGGACAAGAUCCAAGGCAGUGUGCAGGGAACAUCAUGCGCUCUGCACCCUUGCCCUUCAUGGCUAGUAAAAUCUGCCAGGGAAGGAACAGGUGAGCCUGUCUCCAUGCCAUUUGGACCAAAGCAUGACAAGGCAGGCUGCGACAGCAUCCAGGGCUUCGCUGGGAGGUCCUGCCAUGGGGUGUACCUCUGGCUCAACUUGGGUGCUACCAAGAAACCAAGAUAUAUGAUCAUCUACAGCACCAGCUUCAGAUUCCUCCCCCCCACCGCCAUCUUGAGCUUGGGAAACCUCAGGUUCUGUUAUGUGUGAAUGCAGCCAUAGACAGAAACAAGUCUAUAACAUGGGAGCUAAGGAGAAGGGAUUGGACUCUUAAAAAACUAUAAUUUGGCAAAACAAACCAAGACUUGGUGAUCAACUGUGGCACCAAUUCAGGUGUUAUUGUUAAAUAAACCUAAGUUAAAAUAAAGUGUUCAGUGUACUGUCUGAACCUGCCCACUCUCUUGCAGUGCUGCUUGGGCAAUGACAGAAAAGGCUGGGCAGAACAGUGUACGCCUGCUCUUCAGGGCAUCUGCACUAAUGCUCACUCAAAUAAAGGGCAAGCUCCAGGUUUAAAGCCCUAGAAGUUUCCAAGAUGUAUGUUGCUCUGUACAGGUGUGGCUCCCAUGUGUGCCACUGCACAAAGACCAUGAAGAAGGACGCCCUGGAAUCUUCUCAAUAAUCUGUGUUGUCCUCCAUUUAGAUUAAACAUACAUGCACAAACAUUUAUUAUGAGUUUCUUCAAUAUGCUCGACUUCCAGUACAGUGCACUCCUCUCCAACGGGGGGCAUGCACAUACUGGAAGUCAAACACGAGAAACAUCAUUUGGGGAAGAAAGCCUCUUCUUUACUUGAUUCUUAAACCUGGAACUUUAUAACAAAGGCCUCUGACUUACUUUCCCUCAGAGCU